UGAAACCUACUACCAGGACAGCACACAAGUCACCCAGCAGCGGAACCCAGACAGGUCUUUGCUGGCUGCCGUCCCACUCAUAACUCCUCCAGGAACCCAGGGGCAAGGUGAGUGUCAGCCUCCCUUGGCUGGCAUUCCCCUUUGGGAAUCCGAAACUCCAAAGCCCACCCUGGCCCCAUGGAUAUGAUACCAGACCAGUAAUCCGGUAACCGGGGGAUGAGUCACUUGGAA